GUGAUCCCAGGCUGAACAGAGCCGUCGACGCACUAAAUAACCAGCCAAUGGUUGUUGAGGUCUCCCCAUUCUCCAGCAGGAACCCAGAGAAGAGAACACCGAAGCAGGGUCCCUUGAUGUUGACGAUGGUCUGUGGGAUGAGGAAGAGUUUUAAGGUGCCGGAUUUAAGAUGCUUCCGCGCUCCCUAUCGUUGUCAAGAAGUCCGAGAACUGUAGAUCAUUGAAGUCUUGCAGCCCUGAGUAAUGCCUGAAGAUGUUGGUCCAGCCGCUGCCUCCAGGAACAGUUGUGUCGUUCAGGUCACAAUACACCUGUGAGAACACUUGUUAUGGUCAUCCCAGGGACUGGAGGAGGGUCGCUGCAGCCUCUUCUCUUUGCUGAAGAAGAUACUCCAUUAGAGAGAAGGGGAAGGCAGCCUGGUCGUCUUCUCUCAACUCCACCCAACAACGUCAGCU